rnacentral:rRNA from 1 species
UACGUAGGGGGCAAGCGUUGUCCGGAAUCAUUGGGCGUAAAGAGCGUGUAGGCGGUUCGGUAAGUCGGCUGUGAAAGUCCAGGGCUCAACCCUGGAAUGCCGGUGGAUACUGUCGGGCUCGAGUCCGGAAGAGGCGAGUGGAAUUCCUGGUGUAGCGGUGAAAUGCGCAGAUAUCAGGAGGAACACCGAUGGCGAAGGCAGCUCGCUGGGACGGUACUGACGCUGAGACGCGAAAGCGUGGGGAGCAAACAGG